UACGUGAAACCGUUCAGGGGUAAACCUGAGAAACCCGAAAGGUCGAAGGGGGACAUUCAACCGCGCUCGGUCGGCGGCGAGAGGCGGUCGCGCGACGGUGAUCCCUCCGGGGUGAUCCGCGCCGGCCGCCGACGUCCGUCUCCGAACACGUGCACUUGUCCCCUUGUAGGACGUCGCGACCCGUUGGGUGCCGGUCUACGGCCCUCGGUGGAGCCCGUGCGGAGCCUCGCGCUCCGUCCGGACCCGAGGUGUCCCGGCCGGCUCGCCCGACGGUAUACCGAUGGCGCGGGGCCGCGGCUCGAACGCGUCCGACCCUCCGCAAGUGCGGACGGUAACCCGGCGGUCGGACCUGGUCCGGCUCCGGGCCCGCCCGGCUGCUGGCGGAGGCGCUCUCGGACAGACUCCGUGCACGCCCGUCGGCGACGCUAUAGCUUUGGGUACUUUCAGGACCCGUCUUGAAACACGGACCAAGGAGUCUAGCAUGUGCGCGAGUCAUUGGGAUUGACUAAACCUAAAGGCGCAAUGAAAGUGAAGGCCCGCCUCGCGCGGGCCGAGGGAGGAUGGGCCGGAGCACGAUCCGGCCCCGCACUCCCGGGGCGUCUCGCUCUCAUCGCGAGGAGAGGCGCACCCAGAGCGUACACGCUGGGACCCGAAAGAUGGUGAACUAUGCCUGGUCAGGACGAAGUCAGGGGAAACCCUGAUGGAGGUCCGUAGCGAUUCUGACGUGCAAAUCGAUCGUCGGAAC
rnacentral:rRNA from 1 species